UAAAGUAUUCUAUCGUCGUUGUUUUUCACAAUCGGUAUCCUCAAGGUGCAAACCACUUGAUAGGAACGUUCUUCCACAGUGCCCCACAGUCCAAGCUCAAGCUGUGGGCAACCUCAACACUUUCCGGGAACGACACCGUUCACCACCACCAUUCCCGCGCAUUCCUGAAACGGACGGAACGAGUGCACUGCAGAAAUACACUGUUUGAUCCAGUAGACAGGGAAGGAAUGGAUGGAGGUUCAUAUGGACGAGUUCUUUGUUUGGUAUUUGUCUUUAGAGGGCAUAGUUGAUCGGAUUGGCGAAGAUGGUUGUCAGGUUGGUUCUCAUAGGUACUAUAACGGCGGAUGCACAAGGAAAAAGAAGAAGGCUUCAGGUCUCCAACCGAGCAAUCAAGAUCCUUCACGCGCCUCAAUUACGGUCGAAAACCCUCAACGAUGGUUUCGACCUGCUGAGUUUUCAGAUUUUCGUGAAACCCUCGAUCGAUAAUUCUCACACAGGAGCAACAGCCAACAGCAAGAAGCAAUGCCAACGAAUAUGUAUGCCAGCAGACCGCCCGAAGUACUCCUUCCCCUUCGAAAUCCCCAUCGGUGAGGAGAGGCGGGGGCGCUCAGAGAGGAGGUGACAAGGAUGACGAUGACGACGACGGCGAUGAAUCGUCACCACUCUCCCUUACGUGUGAGCGGGCAACUCGACAGCCCAGUGCCCGGGCAUCUGCGCCUGAACUCUGGUCGUGCCCUCCUACAUCCUCGGCCUCAAGUCAUUGGAUUCCCCCAACAACGACGCCGGCGUCGACCGGAUGACCAAUGUCAUCGCCCAAUAGAUUGCCGAGCUCUCCCUUGGUGGACACUUGGUAUGCUGGACAGAACCCUUCCUUCCCCACGGGAAUUGCUGAUUUGUACCGAGAGAUCUACGGCACAGGGGGUGGCGGCUCUUACACUGGGCAGUUGCCUGUCGACAAGACCGGAGUUACAACAAGAACAGAGCGAGGAGGAGGUUUCUGGCCCAAGGGGUUUGGAACCCUAUUCUUAACUACUGCUUUCGUCCAAAUGCCUUAGACAAGUAAAAAGGGUCGGCGUCUUCUUCCUCUCCAUACACAGGAAGAGAGAGAGAGAGCGAUGAUCAUGGAAGCUCCUGAUAAUACCAAUAGAUCCAUCACCAUGAGAUCCUAAUCCAGUUGCUUUCUCUGUUCCACCAUGCGCAGGUAGGGUGAGGUAAGGCCGGACCUGAAUCAGAUGGCAUGAUCUCGAAUCCGGUCAGAUAAGAUAGGCGAAGUAAAACCACUCUCCACUUUACUUUUUUGACUUGGAUUAAAUCUACGGAUAUGAAAAUUGGAAGAUCUUGAGAUUGCAUCACAAUCCAUCUUAGGACCGAUCAGUUUGGGGAUUACCCAAAUUGGUUCUUCAUUUAUACGUUAUUUGGCUUGUUGUCAUUUAUUUCUAACAUUAUUUUUAUAGAUAUUACUAGGUUUCUUUUUCUUUUUUUUUUGUCUUUAAACUUACAUUUCACUUGGUUAUGCUCUGCUUGUGACGACUUAGCCCACUAUUACAUCGAGCCUAUGCUUUUAGCCUAAAAGAAUCUGAGAACCAAAAUAACCAAUCAUUUAACAGCCACAUUUUUAUUAGGAACCAAGACAACCAAUCAUUUUAGUAAUUCCUUUUAUAAGCCCUUAAAAAUACUUCACAAAAUCUUUAAUGUAAAACUAAAUUCUUUAAAUUAGGGUAUUACAAUCCACCCCUCUUAAAACACAGUACCUCACCUCACAAAUGGGACCUCAGGUUGAAGUGUUGAACUGGUUUUGAUACCGUUAUAAACAUCCUACUCACUCUCAGGCUAGUCUAUCAAGUCUAUCAGAUUCCAACAUACUCCUAGCAGCUUCACUACCGACCUAAAAAGAUCAAGAAAUAAGACCACCAACUAUGUUAACAAUGCAUUUUAUAAGAUCUUCAAUAUGAAAUCAAACUUCUUAAAGUUGAGGGUCACAUCACUUUACAGGGUUAGAGCAUCGCUUUGCCUCAAUGUGCUUACAACAUUGGGCACCACAAGUGUGAUAUCAAAAAAUUGAAUUUAACUUUGGCUUUAUCACCUCCAAGGUGGAUAGAUAUCGAUUUGUUCUAACAAGUUAUGGAGUUAUGUACUUUGUGCUAAGUAUAUGCGGAUAAUACUUUCAUUAUGGCUUUGUUCAAUCUUUAACUUCUUUGCUUGGGAAAACUUUCUUUCCCAAAGACAUAGGCAAUCUUAGAUACUUUCUUGGCAUUGAACCUCAAACUGUUGUUUGGUUCUACUGCAACAAAAAUAUGUUUUGGAUCUUCUUCGUAAAGAAAACAAGCUAAAUCCACUCCUACCCUCAUGACUGAACCCAAAAUUUUAGGACAAGCGACUCUAAUGAUCUGACAGAAUAUCGAGGGAUGGUGGCUUUUCUUCAAUAUACUCGCACUAUCUUUGCCGGAUUUAGUCUUUUCAGUUAAGAGGGUGUAAUAAUUUAUGCAUGAAUCCACACAUUUUCCGAGAUUUCAAGACCAUGAUCUUCUUAUUUUGCUUUCGAUCAAACAUCUCUCGAAAGGCUUUCUAUGAUGAUGACUGGCUGAGAUAUCUUGAUGAUCACAAAUCUAGAGGUAGCUAUACAGUUUUCCUUAGACUAAACCUUCAAUCGCUGAGCUCCACAAAGCAGCAUACUAUUGCCGAGUAAAGUUCCGAACCGACUAUGUGUCUGUGCAAGCACGAUUUACUGAGUUUAUUUGGAUCUAGUUGGCUGUGCCAGUACCCUCCAUUCCUAUCCUAUGGUGUGCCAAUAUUAAUGCAACUUGUAUGUCUACAGAAGCAAAACUUGUAGAGCAGCACUUUCAUUUUGUGUAAGACCAUGUUGCCAAAAUAAACUUCAGAUCCAGCACCUCUCAUCCUUGCACCAAAUCGUUGAUGUUUGUAGAUGACCUCAAACCAUUGUUCAGUUUGAGCAGCUCGUAUACAACGAUCAAUGCACGAACUCUUUUGUGACUGCUUUUCUAUCUGCAAAUCUGCACUCUGCAGAUUGACCAUGGCUAAAUUUCAUGUAUUGAUUGUGUGGAUGAUGUACGAAAGAAAGUGACAACCACCAGACAGAUAGAAAGAGAAUCGAAAAACGGAAAACAAAAAUAAAUGAAAGGAAAGCGGUGGCCGGCAGGGCCCAGAGUGAGUAAGCAAGUGAUGGCUUUCUCACGGGCCUCAAGGGAAAAAGACAUGGAUGUUAGUAGCAGGGCCUGGUUAGAUCAUUGUCGCCAUUUCUUGUCAAUGCGUGAGAGGAGUCAUGAGUGGGGCACUAACAAAAGCUUCAUCUCCUUUUCUUUCUUUUCCCUCUUCCACAUGCUUUUGAUUUGUAAAGUUGAAAGUGAAAACCGUGACCCUAGUCGAUAAUCACGUGAAAUUCAUCUUCACCUGGUAGAUCGCAAACCUUUGUUCUUCUUUCAAUCUUUCCCUUAUUUCAAAGAUUUUUCAGAGCGUAGCUCUUUAAAAGGGUAGGACUAAGUCCAAAAGCUCAGCAUUUUGGGAGUGGAGACCAGAUCUGAAGGAAGGGUGUCAUGCAAUUGAAGUUUGAUCGUGAUGAUCAUAGAAAUGGAUCAGACGACCAGAGCACGAACUGAAGCGGAAGAAUCCAUUGCUAAAGUUCCAGUGGUGGAGGACAAGAAGGACGUUGAGCACAUGACUAGGCAGCAGAAGAUCAUGAAUACUCCAGUAGGGCUGGAGGUGCAAGU